AACACUCGACGACCUGAGGUCGUCCUCAUAUGGUACAAACGUCCUCGGCAGUUUCAGGACGUCCUCAUUUGGUCCUCUAGUCGACACUUGCAGGAUUAUCCCCAAAAUGCCCCUUUGAGACCUUUUUAAGGACGAAGAAUUGUCCUGAUAUCGUCUGCUCGAGGACGUUUUGAGGAUAUGCAUGUUUCGUAGGUGCAUGCAGCUUUCGCAAUUCGUGUUUGGUUAAUUUUCUGGCUGUUAACGAAUAAGUCCACGGGAUUUCGUAUGCCUACUUUCGAGUCAUAAUAGUAAAGUACUUCUCGAUCAUUAAAAUGAGAUAGUUACACGAGGAAGCACUUCAAGCCAACACGAGAAAGACGUGUUCUUUUAUUUAUUAUUUAUUUAUUUACUUUGUAAGUGAUCGUAGGCCAAACUUUCUGCCUGCACGUUUUCGUUGGUCGUGAUCUACCGCCGACGUGCAUACGGAAUUAUAUCGCACUGACUGUGGUCUGACCCGUUUCCCCAAUGAACGCACGUGCGGCAGACCAAGUUUGGUGCGAGUAUAAACGGUGUCGGCUCCAAAAUGAAUGCAGGCGUGAAAACUGUGAAUAGCGAGCACGUUAUUCUCGAGUGUCCAGUGUUGCAAUGCCGCACGGUCCCAUCGAGCAGACGACAACUGACCAUGCUGACGACUGGGCUGGCCUAGGUUAUCGUGAAUAGAGCAGCAUUGGAACUAGAACGCUGUGGGAAAACGAAUGGGCGACUGAAGUUGUGGUGGUGCUAACAAAAAAAAAGCAGUACCUUAAUGCGGUCACCAUGCGCAGUCAAGGUGCUUUUAAAUCUGGAUGUCUACGACACUGUUUACCCAUUUUAAAGUGACGCAACUAUCAUCAUCAUCAUUAUGGGCCUGCAGUAAGUCAAGUCGAGUCAUUGGUCGAGUCAACAUUCCAAUACAACACUUCUCGCCAUAGAGGAAGCUUCUCGCAGAAGCCCUCAAAGAAUCGUAAGCAUGCCAGGUCAAUACGUUGUCGUUCUCUUCCCAGAAGAGGAUGAUACAUCUGGGAUCAUCCUCAAAAGUUGGCUGAAAGGCGACGGCUGCCUGUGGCCUCGACAAACUAAAUAUGUACAUAGUUUGUUGAAGGCGAAAGCGACUCCAGGGGCUGACUGGAUAGAAGUGCCUUGCACUGUUGUCCGAGAAUUUGAUACAUAUGCCGAAGCACGGGCAAAUCUGCCAAGGGUAGAAAAUGGAUCCAACUUGGACGGCGAGGCAGAACUUGGGAAAGGCAGAAGAAAAAAAAAUAAGAGAUCCUAUGAGUCUGAAGAUGAUGAAGGGGCACCAUCACCUCCAGCUUCAAUGAUAAGACGGAGAAAACACAAGCGACCAAGAAAUUUAGAGAAUCGGCCACUGCCCACCCAGCCACGGUCAUUGGAACAUGAAGGGUAUGCAGACAAGGCAGGGCGGCAACCACUGCAGCAGCAUCGCACCACAGGCCAGGAAGGGGCUUUAUUGACUAGAUCCAAUAUCAGUGAAGUGCCUGCGUUCGACUCCAGUUCACCAGCAGGCAUUAGGCCAUCACAAAGAGCCCCUUCACCGAGAAUGGCAUCACCUGAGGGUCAAAAUGUUUACAGAGGUUCAUACAGCAACAACUGCAGACCUCUGGACAAUCUUGAAGGGCCACCAUUUCAGCAGCAUUACAGCAGUCAGCAAGGGGCUUCAUGGACUGCACCCAAUAAUUGCCACGAGCCUGGCUUAGGCUUUCCCUCAACAUCAUCUAUGCCUGCUCAGAGAGCAGGAUAUAAUGAGGGGCAAAAUGUCAUCAGGAAUUCUCCUACCAGUAGACACACACCUUCCAAUUCCCCUAGCACUAGAAGCAUACCUUUUGGGACUGCACACAAUAAUACCCAUGGGUCUUCAUUAGGCUUCCCCUCUAGCAAUAGAAGCUCACCUCCUGGUAAGUAACAUUAAAGCUUUCUUACCCGGGUGCCACUUCAGAGGUGAAGACAAUCUUUGUAUUUAUUGUCUAGGGAAUACAGUUUUUUUUCUCUUUAGAUUAAAAUCUUUGCAAGUGCUAAGCAAAACGUUUUGUCUUAUAGCUGUGCCAGUCGUAAGCAGCAUAAUUGCUUAUUUGCAAUUUCGGAACAAUGUACUAACUGUAGUUGCUUUAUCAAGUGUAAAUACCUGAUGUCUCAGAAAAAUUGAAGCGAAGGUGCCACAAUUAAUACUUUUAAUUCAUAAACAACUGUUGUCGCCUAUUUAGUGUAGAGAACAUGCCUCUUGAUCACAGUGGAAAUGAGGACUGUGUGUCACUUUGAUGGCGAUGAGCACGCUUUUACCCCAUAAAUGAAGAGUUAUAUUUUAAACAUUUUUUUUUUGCUUUCGUUGGGAAAGUGAUAGUGGCAUCACUUUGCUGCAAAAACUAUGGCAACUGUUAUAUGUAUGGUCUGGUCACACAUUGUUUCAGUGCUUAAAACAUUAAAGUAUCUGUUUCUGCUUAUUCUAUUUUUCACAAAUUCACUUAAUAACCUAACUUUCAACAAUUUUUCUGAACUUAUUCCAAGUUUUUGUUGAAAACUAGGUUGUAAAUAUAUGGGUACACUGAAUCACAGCACGCAAUGAAGGUGCUUCAUCUCAGUGUCAACUCUGCAUGCGUAUUCAGGUCCUAAAAAGGCAUCACUGAGCAUGCUAACAAAAUAACUGAAGCCAUGUAGGCACAAAUUUCUAAAACCGACAAUAAUGUGCAGAGAAGCCAUAAACAACUGUGUGCUUGUUUUGCUGUGUUUAGUAGCACUUCUCAUUUUCAAUGUUAUCUCAGCUUUUGCCAUUUUAUAUGUUGCAAUUCAGCGCUAUUACUUCAUGAACACGUCUUUACAGAACACGUCUUUACAGAAUGCGAAUGCGAAUUUCGCAAACUAUCCUGAUGAGGCUAGAGCAGCUGGGACGACAGGUUGAUGCCAUGCAGCAGCACCUUUUCAACACAACAGUGAGGCUUCAAGAUGAGACAAAUGAUGAUGUGGUUUUGACACCGGUCAAGGAUAUUGACCAAUUUCUAAGUCUUGAGGGGAGACUUGCUGCUGAUGGCAACAUUAAGCUAAAGCUUAUACAGCAGCUUGCUGGCCUUGGUGGCUCAACUUUUGGGGCAGCAGCCAGGAGGAUGCUGGAGCUUCUGCUAAGCCUUGAGGUUGCUGUGCAGUUCAGCUGGGCAGGCCAAAAAGGCAAAAGGAAGUUUGUGGAUCUAGGUGUCACAGAUGUCAUUUGCAAGGCCGUGAGGCGAAAUUUUCCGGAAACAAAAAAAAAUGACAUCGAGUGUGUGAUUAAAGUGUGGCUUCGGCAUGCUGGGGAAAAGCUCCAGAAGCAGCGCUUAAGAACUUCUCGCACUCACCAUGAGGAAUGUCUUCAAAGUGUCGCGUUGUCAAGCCCAUCGGAUGAAGACCUCUGAAGGCACAGGGCAAGAAGUCUCAUCUAGUGAAAACUGCCAAGUUUCAUUCCUGAAAAUAAACAUGUUUUCUGUGCA
rnacentral:misc_RNA from 1 species